GCCCUCACAACACAUUUAAGGCUUCUAACUCUCCCCCGGAUCAAAUGCAGCCAGGAAGCGGCGAGAAACACUGGCCACUCAGAUUAGAACCAGUUUCUGCUCGCAGUUAGAGUCUGGUUGUCGCUGGAGGGAUGUUUUAAAAAGACAAAUAAGAAUCCAGCUGCACAAGAUGCUACCGUUUCCUUUUUCUGAGAAGGCGGUAUUGCGCCAGCGGAUCUCCAGAAGGGCCCGGGUGACAUUUUUAUUAUUAUGGAUGUGCCCACGCAGAUGAGAGGAGGGGAGAAGGGCCACCCGAGAGUUUUCUACGCGUCGAAUCAAGAAGAAUGGGAAAAAAUCAAGUAGCCUUCAUCCAAUAUUUGACUUUAACUGCGGCUAUUUCCCUGUUUGGCAUUGAAUUGUAAUUAUGGCCAAAGAUUCUACUUUUAUGUACAAGCAAAAAUACAAAUAUGCUAUUAUCCAUUAUUUACUAUUUUUGGACAUUUUUGCUUUAUUAGCCUUUUCUUGUGUUGGAAAUUAUUUAAAAAUAUAUUUCAGAUUUUUCACCUUCAGGUUUUUAUACCAGGAAUAUACAAUAAAUAAUAGCAAGGAAUAAUGUUUUUACUUUUUAAAAAAAAUUUAUAACUGGCUUGUAUUUAAUUGUGUGACCACGUUGAAUGUUUCUGAGAAUUAAAAGUGAAGGAUAUGCUUUCAUUAUAUUUCAAUUCUUUUAUUUAUUUCUUCGAACUGGAGCAGCAUGGAAUGUAUGACAUCGAAAGAAAAAAAAUGGUGAUGUUUGUUUCUUUGUUCUUCAAUAAAGAAACCGUGUGUCCUUCUUUCCA